rnacentral:lncRNA from 1 species
UAUCCCUUCUGGAAGGACAGGGCCGCACACAGGAGGACACAGUGACGGUGCUCAGCCCGCACAGAACUAGUUUAUUCAGUAGUAUGGAGAAAUGAAAAAACAAAACACAAAAUGCUACCAUAUUUACAGUAACAAUCAAACUGUACAAUCAGAUGGUUAGUGUCAAGUUAGCAUCCAGCAUCUUUGUAUUUUUUUAAGUCAAGUCAUCAGUAGUAAAAACCAGUUACGUUUUUAACCUUUUGCAUGAAUUGCCGAGGGGAGAGGCCAGGGGGAAGAAUCCACGGCAGAAAAACCAGAGACCAGCCUUAUAAAUGAGAAAUAGAAAUAUUUUCUCUACUCAGAGCCUCUUUCUAGCCACCUGCUCCAGAGGAAAGUCGGUGACAAGUCUGGAAUACAUGUUUAGUGUAAAUGGUGACUCCAGUGAUUAGCAGCUGGCAAAACCGAGGAGGAAGAGGAGAGGUGGGGAGAUGACAGCCUGGAGCAAGGGCAAGGGCCUUAGGCCCCCUUGCCAGGACUGCUGGGUACACACCCAACCUGUGAUGGCCAUGUCAGACCCCCUGGGACUGGACCCAUCCCAACACAACAAGCAAAUAAAUAAAAAAUAUAUAUUAACUCUCUCUUCGCAGGGAGCUGGGUGGUGAGGGGGAGAAAAAGGAACAGGACUUGGUCUUUUGAAGAAGAGAGCCAAUUCCAAGAAGGAGAUAAAAAUAGAACAUGUCUCAGAGGCCACAGCAGGUCAGUGGGGUUUGUCUGGUCCCGGAGGAGGGAGAGUGGACACGGGAUCCCGGACUCCAGACCUGGGCUGGAGACGGCAGGGGGCGACCCGACUCCUGGCAGUCUUCCUCCUCCCUGUCCCACCCAUACAAUAGCAAAGAAGCGCAACUUAACAAGUGACUGGCCUUCCCCAGCACGGGGCAGGCAGGGAAAUGAAGCACUUUUGGGUCAGCGAACUGAGCAAACACCCGGGCUGCAGCACGCGGCCGGAGUCCAGGAAAAGGAGAGGGGCGGGGUGGCCCGUCCGCCGCCUGGGGGCGCGGGUUCCCCUCAGAAUGUGUUCAUGCAGCAUUUGGGGGUCCGGGGGCUCCGAGUCCUUCUGCCCCCUCUCCGGACAGGGCUUUUGCAGUUCCUGGAGGUGGCAGCACGGGCAGGGUGAGGAACGCCCUCCGUCCUGCCACCCUUGCCGCGCUGAGGCCCGCCCGGUGCAGCCCGCAGGGCACGAUGCCCUGGGUGCAUGUGGCUUCGUCCUUUCCUUUUGGUGAUGGCAGACGGGGGGGCAGGCCCCCCGAGAGUCCCUCUCCUCCCAGAGGCACAGCAGAUGGGAAACUGAGGAGAGGCUGGGAGAGCAUCCUGGGGGGUCCUAGCCUCUUAGGGGAGGGAAAGGGGAGUCAGUUUCCAGCGUAUAAAAAAAAUUAAUCCCUGAAGUCAUGAAGAGUGGAGAUCCAUUUUUAAAUCUUUUUUUUUUUUUUUUCCUCUUUUC